rnacentral:rRNA from 1 species
CGUGCGCGAUGAAGGCCUUCGGGUUGUAAAGCGCUGUCGAGGGGGAGGAAAGCCGGGUAACCGGUCUGACUAAUCCCUGGAGGAAGCACGGGCUAAGUUCGUGCCAGCAGCCGCGGUAAGACGAACCGUGCGAACGUUGUUCGGAAUCACUGGGCUUAAAGGGCGCGUAGGCGGGCGGCCAAGUCAGGAGUGAAAUCUUUCGGCUCAACCGGAAAAGUGCUCUUGAUACUGGCUGUCUUGAGGGAGAUAGGGGCAUGUGGAACUUCCGGUGGAGCGGUGAAAUGCGUUGAUAUCGGAAGGAACGCCGGUGGCGAAAGCGACGUGCUGGACCUCUUCUGACGCUGAGGCGCGAAAGCUAGGGUAGCGAACGGGAUUAGAUACCCCGGUAGUCCUAGCCCUAAACGAUGGGUACUAGGUAGUGACUUGACAUGGGUUUACUGCCGAAGCAAAAGUGCUAAGUACCCCGCCUGGGGAGUAUGGUCGCAAGGCAGAAACUA